GACGAACGCUGGCGGCGUGCUUAACACAUGCAAGUCGAACGGAGUGGCGAACGGGUGAGUAAUACCUAGGAAUCCGCCGGGUAGUGGGGGAUAACGUUCGGAAACGGACGCGAAUACCGCAUACUAUCAGAUGAGCCGAGGUGGGAUUAGAUAGUUGGUGAGGUAAUGGCUCACCAAGGCUACGAUCCGUAACUGAUCUGAGAGGAUGAUCAGCCACACUGGAACGAGACACGGGCCAGACUCCUACGGGAGGCAGCAGUAGGGAAUCUUGGGCAAUGGGCGAAAGCCUGAUCCAGCCAUGCCGCGUGUGUGAAGAAGGUCUUCGGAUGGUAAAACGCUGUUAUUAGGGAGGCGUUACCGAAAUAGUAAGCACCGGCUAACUAUGUGCCAGCAGCCGCGGUAAUAC
rnacentral:rRNA from 1 species